rnacentral:rRNA from 1 species
GAUGAACGCUGGCGGCGUGCUUAACACAUGCAAGUCGAACGAAGCGCUUAAACGGAUUUCUUCGGAAUGAAGUUUUUGCGACUGAGUGGCGGACGGGUGAGUAACGCGUGGGUAACCUGCCUCAUACAGGGGGAUAACAGUUAGAAAUGACUGCUAAUACCGCAUAAGCGCACAGUGCUGCAUGGCACAGUGUGAAAAACUCCGGUGGUAUGAGAUGGACCCGCGUCUGAUUAGGUAGUUGGUGGGGUAACGGCCUACCAAGCCGACGAUCAGUAGCCGACCUGAGAGGGUGACCGGCCACAUUGGGACUGAGACACGGCCCAG